rnacentral:rRNA from 1 species
UACGUAGGGGGCUAGCGUUGUCCGGAAUCAUUGGGCGUAAAGCGCGUGUAGGCGGUUCGGUAAGUCCGCUGUGAAAGUCGGGGGCUCAACCCUCGAAUGCCGGUGGAUACUGUCGGACUAGAGUACGGAAGAGGCGAGUGGAAUUCCUGGUGUAGCGGUGAAAUGCGCAGAUAUCAGGAGGAACACCGGUGGCGAAGGCGGCAUCCUGGACCGACACUGACGCUGAGGAGCGAAAGCCAGGGGAGCAAACGGG